GCCUGGGUGGCUGAGUCAGUUAAGCAUCCGAUUUCAGCUCAGGUCAUGAUCUCACCAUUCAUGAGUUCGAGCCCCACCUCAGGCU
rfam:Felis catus isolate Cinnamon breed Abyssinian chromosome D1, whole genome shotgun sequence.